rnacentral:rRNA from 1 species
GACGAACGCUGGCGGCGUGCUUAACACAUGCAAGUCGAACGGAAAGGCCCUGCUUUUGUGGGGUGCUCGAGUGGCGAACGGGUGAGUAACACGUGAGUAACCUGCCCUUGACUUUGGGAUAACUUCAGGAAACUGGGGCUAAUACCGGAUAGGAGCUCCUGCUGCAUGGUGGGGGUUGGAAAGUUUCGGCGGUUGGGGAUUGACUCGCGGCUUAUCAGCUUGUUGGUGGGGUAGUGGCUUACCAAGGCUUUGACGGGUAGCCGGCCUGAGAGGGUGACCGGCCACAUUGGGACUGAGAUACGGCCCAGACUCCUACGGGAGGCAGCAGUGGGGAAUAUUGCACAAUGGGCGGAAGCCUGAUGCAGCAACGCCGCGUGCGGGAUGACGGCCUUCGGGUCGUAAACCGCUUUCGCCUGUGACGAAGCGUGAGUGACGGUAAUGGGUAAAGAAGCACCGGCUAACUACGUG